GGCGAACUUUGGCGGCGUGCUUAACACAUGCAAGUCGAACGGAAAGGCCCUGCUUUUGUGGGGUGCUCGAGUGGCGAACGGGUGAGUAACACGUGAGUAACCUGCCCUUGACUUUGGGAUAACUUCAGGAAACUGGGGCUAAUACCGGAUAGGAGCUCCUGCUGCAUGGUGGGGGUUGGAAAGUUUCGGCGGUUGGGGAUGGACUCGCGGCUUAUCAGCUUGUUGGUGGGGUAGUGGCUUACCAAGGCUUUGACGGGUAGCCGGCCUGAGAGGGUGACCGGCCACAUUGGGACUGAGAUACGGCCCAGACUCCUACGGGAGGCAGCAGUGGGGAAUAUUGCACAAUGGGCGGAAGCCUGAUGCAGCAACGCCGCGUGCGGGAUGACGGCCUUCGGGUUGUAAACCGCUUUCGCCUGUGACGAAGCGUGAGUGACGGUAAUGGGUAAAGAAGCACCGGCUAACUACGUGCCAGCAGCCGCGGUGAUACGUAGGGUGCGAGCGUUGUCCGGAUUUAUUGGGCGUAAAGGGCUCGUAGGUGGUUGAUCGCGUCGGAAGUGUAAUCUUGGGGCUUAACCCUGAGCGUGCUUUCGAUACGGGUUGACUUGAGGAAGGUAGGGGAGAAUGGAAUUCCUGGUGGAGCGGUGGAAUGCGCAGAUAUCAGGAGGAACACCAGUGGCGAAGGCGGUUCUCUGGGCCUUUCCUGACGCUGAGGAGCGAAAGCGUGGGGAGCGAACAGGCUUAGAUACCCUGGUAGUCCACGCUGUAAACGGUGGGUACUAGGUGUGGGGUCCAUUCCACGGGUUCCGUGCCGUAGCUAACGCUUUAAGUACCCCGCCUGGGGAGUACGGCCGCAAGGCUAAAACUCAAAGGAAUUGACGGGGCCCCGCACAAGCGGCGGAGCAUGCGGAUUAAUUCGAUGCAACGCGUAGAACCUUACCUGGGUUUGACAUGGAUCGGGAGUGCUCAGAGAUGGGUGUGCCUCUUUUGGGGUCGGUUCACAGGUGGUGCAUGGCUGUCGUCAGCUCGUGUCGUGAGAUGUUGGGUUAAGUCCCGCAACGAGCGCAACCCUUGUUCACUGUUGCCAGCACGUUAUGGUGGGGACUCAGUGGAGACCGCCGGGGUCAACUCGGAGGAAGGUGGGGAUGACGUCAAGUCAUCAUGCCCCUUAUGUCCAGGGCUUCACGCAUGCUACAAUGGCUGGUACAGAGAGUGGCGAGCCUGUGAGGGUGAGCGAAUCUCGGAAAGCCGGUCUCAGUUCGGAUUGGGGUCUGCAACUCGACCUCAUGAAGUCGGAGUCGCUAGUAAUCGCAGAUCAGCAACGCUGCGGUGAAUACGUUCCCGGGGCU
rnacentral:rRNA from 1 species